rnacentral:rRNA from 1 species
AUUCCAGCUCCAAUAGCACAUAUUAAAGCUGUUGCGUUGACGAAAACUCGUAGUUGGAUUUCUGUCAAGGACAACUGGUCCGCCCUCCGGGUGAGCACAUAGUUUGGUCUUGGCAUCUUGCUGGAAACUGUUGCUGCACUUGGCUGUUUGGCGUAGUGUCCAGCACUUUCACCUUGAGGAAAUUGGAAUGUUUCAAGCAGGCACAUGCUUUUGGACACAUUAGCAUAGAAUAAAUAUAUUGGGUUUUGGCUCUAAUUUGUCGGUUUCUGGAGCUGAGGUGAGAAUUAAUGGGGAUUGUUGGGGGCUUCCGAAUUUAGCCGUCAGAGGUGAACUUCUUGGAUCAGGUAGAGACGGUCGGUCGAUUGCGAAACCGUUUGCCCGGGAUGCUUUCAUUG